GAUGAACGCUGGCGGCGUGCCUAAUACAUGCAAGUCGAGCGAACAGACGAGGAGCUUGCUCCUCUGACGUUAGCGGCGGACGGGUGAGUAACACGUGGAUAACCUACCUAUAAGACUGGGAUAACUUCGGGAAACCGGAGCUAAUACCGGAUAACAUGUUGAACCGCAUGGUUCAACAGUGAAAGACGGUCUUGCUGUCACUUAUUGAUGGAUCCGCGCCGCAUUAGCUAGUUGGUAAGGUAACGGCUUACCAAGGCAACGAUGCGUAGCCGACCUGAGAGGGUGAUCGGCCACACUGGAACUGAGACACGGUCCAGACUCCUACGGGAGGCAGCAGUAGGGAAUCUUCCGCAAUGGGCGAAAGCCUGACGGAGCAACGCCGCGUGAGUGAAGAAGGUCUUCGGAUCGUAAAACUCUGUUAUUAGGGAAGAACAAAUGUGUAAGUAACUAUGCACGUCUUGACGGUACCUAAUCAGAAAGCCACGGCUAACUACGUG
rnacentral:rRNA from 1 species